AUGGACCGUGACCGGAAAUCCGCACAGAGGCAUCGUGGAGGAGGCUUCGUUGUACCGGUUGCGAAUCUGGAACGAAAUCAGAGGAGAUCUCCAGCUGGGUGCGAUUUUGGAGCGGUGGUCGUGGACUCCGGCCGCUGGCAGUCUGUGUCGCCGGAACCGAGUACUGAAGUUACGCGUGGUGCGUGUCGUGGUUACUUUGUGUCUUCGAUUUUCUUUACUUUUUUCUACUAUUGCGAUCUUGUUGUUGCCUCAUUGAUGCAUGUUCUGAAAAAAAAAUGA